rnacentral:rRNA from 1 species
AUUGAACGCUGGCGGCAGGCCUAACACAUGCAAGUCGAGCGAGCGGCGGUCGGGUGAGUAAUGUAUGGGGACUGCCCGAUAGCGGGGGAUAACUACUGGAAACGGUAGCUAAUACAGCAUACUAUCGGAUAACCCAUAUGGGAUUAGCUAGUAGGUGGGGUAAUGGCUCACCUAGGCGACGAUCACUAGCUGGUCUGAGAGGAUGAUCAGCCACACUGGGACUGAGACACGGGCAAGACUCCUACGGAGGCAGCAGUGGGGAAUAGUGCACAAUGGGCGCAAGCCUGAUCCAGCCAUCCCGCGGGUAUGAUGAAGGCUUUCGGGUUGUAAAGGACUUUUGGCAGGGAGGCGGUAUCUGCAGAAUAAGCACCGGCUAACUACGUGCCAGCAGCCGCGGUAAUUC